CACCACUCCAGCCUCGCUGGGUAUUGGGCUCCGCGGCCUCCGCGCGCCUCAAUGUCUCCGGCCGAGCCGACCGUCUCCAAGCGUUGUGGCACAACUGUUUCGCUUUCGGGACCGGUCCGGCGACGCGCCGUUAAACCCUUUCUCCAAA
rnacentral:misc_RNA from 1 species